rnacentral:rRNA from 1 species
AUGAGAGGGAGAAGAAGUAAGGAAGGGAGGGUGAAAGAGAGGAAAGAGGAGAGGGAGGUAGAGCCGCCUUCUCUCCCUGCCUCUUCCGCGGUGGUCGAGGUGCAGCAGCGUCGGCGCCGCCAGGUUCUCGAUCCAGUCGGAUCUGGCGCCGGUCGCCGUCCCCGUCGCCUCGUCUUCUUUCUUUCCAACCCACCGCCUCCGAGCUUCUGCUCCUGCUACGUCUCCUUCUCCCUUCCCGCCGCGGGAGCAGUCAUCGCUGCGCCCUCGCCCCCGCACGCCGUCCUUCCGCGCGCCUCACCAGCCACCACCAGCAGCAGCGUAGGGAGCCAAUGGGAAGGGGGUCCAAGGCCAAAUCCUGCUUCAGCGGAGGCCAUGACUGAGGCGGAGGGGGAGCUCCCCAAAGCCAUCGUGGAUCGUGCUGUGGCGGCGUGGAGCAGGGGAGGAUUUGGGCGAUGGGCAUGA